rnacentral:rRNA from 1 species
GACGAACGCUGGCGGCGUGCCUAAUACAUGCAAGUCGAGCGAAGUUUUUCUGGUGCUUGCACUAGAAAAACUUAGCGGCGAACGGGUGAGUAACACGUAAAGAACCUGCCUCAUAGACUGGGACAACUAUUGGAAACGAUAGCUAAUACCGGAUAACAGUAUUUCUCGCAUGAGAGAUAUUUAAAAGUUGGUUAUGCUAACACUAUGAGAUGGCUUUGCGGUGCAUUAGCUAGUUGGUGGGGUAAAGGCCCACCAAGGCGACGAUGCAUAGCCGACCUGAGAGGGUGAUCGGCCACACUGGGACUGAGACACGGCCCAGACUCCUACGGGAGGCAGCAGUAGGGAAUCUUCCGCAAUGGGCGAAAGCCUGACGGAGCAACGCCGCGUGAGUGAAGAAGGAUUUCGGUUCGUAAAGCUCUGUUGUUAGGGAAGAAUGGAUAAGUAGUAACUAUACAUGUAAGAGACGGUACCUAACCAGAAAGCCACGGCUAACUACGUG